rnacentral:misc_RNA from 1 species
UAAUAAGUGUUUUAUGGCACUUUUUAAAUCCAUAUCCACCUUGUGUGCAAUGUCAGUCGAUCUUCUUCAUGGAGAUCGACCAAACAUCAACCUUUAUCUUUUAACUCUUUGUCUUAAAAAUAUAUGAAUAAACAAUUCAAAAUA